rnacentral:rRNA from 1 species
UACGUAGGGGGCGAGCGUUGUCCGGAUUUAUUGGGCGUAAAGAGCUCGUAGGUGGUUCGGUAAGUCGGAUGUGAAAUCUCCAGGCUCAACCUGGAGGGGUCAUUCGAUACUGCCGUGACUAGAGUUCGGUAGGGGAGUGUGGAAUUCCUGGUGGAGCGGUGAAAUGCGCAGAUAUCAGGAGGAACACCCGUAGCGAAGGCGGCACUCUGGGCCGAUACUGACACUGAGGAGCGAAAGCGUGGGGAGCGAACAGG